UGCCCACUGAUUUUAAUAAUUAAAGGGCUGCAGUAUAUUGACUGUACAAAGGUAGCAUAAUCAUUAGUCAUUUAAUUGAUGACUGGUAUGAAAGAUUUGAUGAGAUAUAAACUGUUUUAAUUUUAAAUUGUAGAAUUUAAUUUUUUAGUUAAAAAGCUAAGAUAAUUUAAAAAGACGAGAAGACCCUAUAGAGUUUUAUUUUAAUAUGAAUUUAUAAAUUUAUGUAAAUUUAAAAUUGAAAUUUUUGUUAAAAUUUUGUUGGGGUGAUAGAAAAAUUUAAUAAACUUUUUUUUUAUAGUUUACAUUAAUAAGUGAUUAUUUGAUCCAAUUUUAUUGAUUAUAAGAAUAAAUUACCUUAGGGAUAACAGCGUAAUUUUUUUUUUUAGUUCAUAUAAGAAAAAAAGUUUGCGACCUCGAUGUUGGAUUAAAAUAAAAUUUAAAUGUAGAAGUUUAAAAUUUUGA
rnacentral:rRNA from 1 species